rnacentral:rRNA from 1 species
UACGUAGGGGGCUAGCGUUGUCCGGAAUCAUUGGGCGUAAAGCGCGUGUAGGCGGUUCGGUAAGUCCGCUGUGAAAGUCGGGGGCUCAACCCUGGGAUGCCGGUGGAUACUGUCGGGCUCGAGUCCGGAAGAGGCGAGUGGAAUUCCUGGUGUAGCGGUGAAAUGCGCAGAUAUCAGGAGGAACACCAAUGGCGAAGGCAGCUCGCUGGGACGUGACUGACGCUGAGACGCGAAAGCGUGGGGAGCAAACAGG